rnacentral:rRNA from 1 species
GGUAUCGGAUGGGCAAUGCGUCCUAUUAGUUAGAUUGGCGGGGUAACAGCCCACCAACACGAUGAUAGGUAAGGGUACUGAGAGGAAGGUCCCCCACAUUGGAAAUGAGACACGGUCCAAACUCCUACGGGAGGCAACAGUGAGGAAUAUUGGUCAAUGGACGAGAGUCUGAACCAGCCAAGUCGCGUGAGGGAAGACUGCCCUAUGGGUUGUAAACCUCUUUUAUAAGGGAAGAAUAAGUUCUACGUGUAGAAUGAUGCCUGUACCUUAUGAAUAAGCAUCGGCUAACUCCGUGCCAGCAGCCGCGGUAAUACGGAGGAUGCGAGCGUUAUCCGGAUUUAUUGGGUUUAAAGGGUGCGUAGGCGGUUUAUUAAGUUAUUGGUUAAAUAUCUGAGCUAAACUCAAUUGUGCCAUUAAUACUGGUAAACUGGAGUACAGACGAGGUAGGCGGAAUAAGUUAAGUAGCGGUGAAAUGCAUAGAUAUAACUUAGAACUCCGAUAGCGAAGGCAGCUCAC